UUCACUCUUUAUCUCGUAUUUUCGCGAAAAUGAUUUCUCCUGAACAAGUUGUCCGUUGUCCACAGGUAAAGUACCCAAUUCACUCUUUAUCUCGUAUUUUCGCGAAAAUGAUUUCUCCUGAACAAGUUGUCCGUUGUCCACAGGUAAAGUACCCAAUUCACCCUCCUCAACUUCAUCUUUUGCAGCGUCACCAUUAGACUCAAUUUCUUUAACAACACUCUUAGAACUCAAGUUCACUACUUUUUUCUCCCUUUUUGCCUUCAUCUUACCAUUCAUCUUUUUCUUCUUCUUCUUCACAGUUGCUGUAGUAGAAUUUAAAGAAGAAGUACUGAACGUG
rnacentral:misc_RNA from 1 species